UUAACCCACUAAGAGAGGCCAGGGAUCGAACCCGCAACCUCAUGGUUCCUAGUCAGAUUCGUUUCCGCUGCGCCAUGACGGAACUCCUGGGGACAUUUAUUUUUAAAUUGAAUCCAUCAUGUGUCUUCAGGAAGGUUAAUGAUGUACUUUUUCAGUAGUUUUUGAACUUGCAGUUCAUUUGUGCUUUUUUCCCAAUAGCUUCCUCAUAUCCUAAAUACGCCUUCCUGGGGUGAUUUUUUACAGCUUUUUACUCUUUAAUUGAAAAGCAUUUUAUGACUGAAAGCAAACUAUGAAAGAUCAUGAGUGACUCUGGUUCUGGGUUUAGACCAUACGAAAUAUACCAGGCAGAGAGCCCCAUUUGUAGAAUUAUUGUUUAUGUGGGCCAAUGAUAAAUAAGUAACUUUCAUCUGAUAAAUAUGUAGUGAGUUUAAAGUAAAAAAUGAGUUUGAUAUUCUCAGGAGUGACUUCUUUUUUGUUUUGUUUUUUGGUUUGUUUGUUUAGGCAAGAAAUAGAUUGAAUACAAUAGGAUGCUUGUGAGAGAUGCAAGCGGGCAGGGACAUCAGCCCUGACAAAGCUCCUAAUUUCAAGCCUAAGGAAGUGCUUCUUUCCUCUGGUGAAGAAGCUGCUCUGUCUGCAUCUCUGUCUCUGUCUCUCUCUGCGGCAUGAAGAUCCAGGGCUCAAGACACCUUCUCAGGCUGGUGAAAUUGAAGAUGCUCUUGUUACAUAAACAUGACUCUCUCUCUGGACAGUGUCACGGACAGUCCUCUCUGGACUUAGAAAAUGGAACAACUGUGCCUGGCUGCUCUCAAAGCUCCCAGCCAUAAUGACGCAGGAUAUGUUUUCUUGAGCCUUUUUGGAGCUCGUUUAUUAAUUUCCUGUAUUUACCCAUGUUACUCUGGGGAAAGAGAACCAGCAAGUAAGCCUGGUUUGCCUUCUCAGUAUCAACGAGAAUGAUCAUUAAUGAUCACGUUUAUUGCUAGCAGUGCAAAGAGCAUAGACUGGGAGUAAUGAGCCCUGGACUCCAGGGGUGGUUCUUGGGACAAGUCACCUCAUAUCCUUGGACCCUCGGGUUCCUUAUCCAAAAUGAAAGGGUUGGAACAGAUGAUUUUUUAAAGGACUUGUUCAGUGGUAAAACUUCCCACACCAGUCUUCGAAGGGCACACAUUUUUCCUCCCUAGAUUUCAGCCAGGAAUGGAUAUAAUCAGCGACAUGUAACUCAAGAUGCAGGAAGGCAUCCGCUGCUGCUGUUAAGGGAUAGUUUUCUGGAGGGGGACGGACUAGUCAGGCAGCAUCUUCCCUGGGCAACUGUGUCUUCUGCAUCCACUGCGGUAGAUCCAUCACUGCGCUAGAACCAUCCAUUGUGAUAGAACCAUCCGUUGUGAUAGAACCAUCCAUUGCGAUAGCACCAUCCAUUGUGAUAGCACCAUCCAUUGUGAUAGAACCAUCCAUUGCGAUAGCACCAUCCAUUGUGAUAGAACCAUCCGUUGUGAUAGAACCAUCCAUUGCGAUAGAACCGUUCCUCUACUAAGGCAUUGGCAGGAGCCUUCUGUAGAACUCUGCCCUUGACGUACCCUGAGACAUAGGUGUCUGCGGUCAGAGUCAUCCGGAACACUAUGGUCCUCUGGAGAGUCACAGCACCUCUUAAUAUGUUGAGGGAUCUGAGAGGUCCUGCAUGAAAACACCUGUUAACUUUGCUGAACCUAGCAUUUCUCUGACUUCAUUUACCAGGGAGCUCCUUUCUUUGUCACAUCUACCAGCAUUCCAGGAAGAAAAAAAAUAUCUCGAAGAGACUAUUUGAAUUGUUAUUCUAGAAAAGCCUUUAGACCUUCCUAAGAGUUUCCGCCUUGGGAGAGAGAGGGAAUUAUAACCCCUGUUAGCUAGUUUGAUGACUGUCUACCAAGAUGAGCCUUCUUGAUAGAUGUGGUCUGCAGGGAUUGUCCUCAUAAGCAGCCACACUGGAGUGUCCAUCACCCAUCAGGGCACAAGGAAGACCCGUCUUCGCUGGUAUCAGCCUUGUUCCGUUAUGCUGAGGAGUAUUCCCUCGCCUUUACAUGCUUGCAUUAACCUCCAGAUUCGUUGGCAUCCUUCUUUAUUAUUAUUUUAUUAUUUUUUCUUUUUACCGCUGUACCGGAGGCCUAUGGAAGUUCCCGGAGCAGGGGCUGAACUGGAGGGGCAGCAGCAGGCCGCCGUCACAGCCGUGGCAACCCAGAUCUGAGCUGUGUCUGUGACCUACACUACAGCUCAAGGCAAUACCAGAUCCUCAGCCCAUGGAGCGAGGCCAGGGAUCGAACCUGUGUCCUCAUGGAUACUAGUCAGGUUCUAAACCCACUGAACCACAACAGGUACUCCCUCUUUUUAGACAUAGUAUAAGACAAACAUCUGUUCUGAGCCCUCACAGGGGUAGCAUAGAAUGGUUUAUUAAUGCUCAUUGGGAGACAAUGCUUCACGGGUCUCCAGUAUUUUUACACAUCUUGUGAGCAAGACACGCACUGCCCUUUCUUCCAGACUAGAUGUUCAAGGAUAUUUGUAGAUAUUUUGAAAAUAAAGAUACGAGUUCGGUUAUGGCUCAGCAGCAAUGAACCCAACCAAUAUCCACAAGGAUGUGGGUUCAAUUGCUGGCCUCACAGCUCGGGUCAAGGAUCCCGAGUUGCCGUGGCUGUGGUGUAGGUCACAGACACAGCUCCGAUUUGACCCCUAGCCUGGGAACUUGCAUAUGCCACAGGUGCGGCCCUAAAAAGACAAAAAAAAAAAAAAAAAGAAAGAAAAUAUAGAGAUAGUGUAUCCCUCUGGAGCAAAGGAUGAAGAUACUUGCUGUCAAGCAUAAUACAGAUGUUUUUCUCCAGCGCAAAGAGCAGGUGACACUUUGGUAGACGUUCCCGUUCCCGAAGCUCACGGCUCUUCUCCUCUAACACAAGCUGCGGUUAGGAUGCUGAUACCCUGGCUGUUGCUGUGGCUGUGAGGAACGAACAUGUUCCCCUCUCUGAUCCAGGCAUUUCAUGUCUUUCCAGCAUCCAAGAAACUGGGGCAGGCUGAUUAUUUGGCCUGCAGAGAAUAAAGUCUCAGACUCUGCGCAGUUCCUGACAGUAGCGGCCUUUUCCUCCUCACGCCCUGGACCCUGGCAGAGAAACUUUCUGUCCUUAGCGGCGCUCCGUCCCUGGUCUUGAGAGCAUACCCUCCUGUGAAUGCUUCUCUAGGCCUGUUGUAACAUUUGUAGGCAUCCAGCCCUGCUUUGGAGAAGAUUCAGUAGAGAGCUGGUGUAAUUGAUGUGCUCUGAUGACAGAAUAUCAAAGAAAGGUACAGCGAACGUCUGUCCAGCAUGAUAAUGUUUCAUUAAAAUGAUGAGAAACUAUUUUAAUUCUAAUCUUGUUAUGCUAAAGGGGGAUUUAAAAAUUAAUCCUCAAUGAAAAGGAAGUACUGUCACACAGUAAAGAAUGGAUAUGUUGGGGGAGUAUUUCUGAGUUAUCUGCACUCAUUUCUUCAUUCUUCCAAAAACAGUGUAGACAGAGGAGAAGAUGAGUUCGGUAAGAUCAAUUGCUUCGCGGGGCCAAAGGGAGCAUCAUUUUGCCAUAACAUGAAAGCAAAGCGAUCGUAUUUAAGAAACUGAAAACAUCCAGAUAAAUUUUUCUUUUUUUUUGUUUUUGGCCACACCCGUGGCACAUGAAGUUCCCAGGCCAGUGAUGGAAUCCAAGCUGCAGCUGCAACGCCAGAUCCUUAACCCACUGUGCUGUGCUGGGAAUCAAACCCGCACCUCGGCAGCGACCCAAGCCACUGCAGAGACAACAGCAGAUCCUUAACCCACUGCGCCAUAGCGGGAACUCCAACAUGCAGCUUUCUUGAAGGUCAACCACAUUCUUCAGCUUGUAAGAUGCUCCUGACAGCAGCCUGUUUACACCUGAUCUGAUGCCAUUUCCAUGUCAACUGUUGAUUACAUUGGCUAAACCGAAAUUGAAAAUUAUGCUCUCUGCAAUAAUACUUUUGAUCUCUUGCUUUGAAACAAACAUCUUCUGAUUGAAAGGGUUUCAGGGGCUUUAGCAUAUAAUAAUCAUUGGUCUGGGAGGAAUCUGGUCUUGAAAUUUUAAGACGCAGUCUGCUAUCUUGCUACAGUGCCACAAAUAGGGUCAUAAAUGAACCCCUGUUGAGUGCUUUCUGCCAGGCAGGCUUUAAAGCAUUGUACGUGUAUUAUUUCAUUUAAUUCACAUAACGACACAAUGAAGUAGGUAUUAUCACUGUCCCCAUUUCAUGAACGGGGACCCUGGGGCCCGGGAGGUAAUGCGACCUGCCCAAGGUCAUGCUGCUAGUCAGUAGUGGAGCCAGGAACGGAAUCAAGGCACCUGCCUCCAAAUCUUAGACUCUUACCUCACUUUUAUGCUCCCUUUCUGUAAUAUCAGAGUUUUUUUAACUGAUGGAAAAAGUGAUUUUUUUUCCCCUGGACCGCUUAAGGGAAAUAAACACCAAUGCCCUCGCUUCUUUCGAGUGUUAUCUCUAGAUUGGCUUCCCAGAUACGGCGUUUAGUUCUUCGUUUCUCCAUAACGAGUAGACUUCAGGACCGUAAGGGCUGGGUUAUAUCCGUCUCCAGCCCACGUUGACUGCGGAGGGGGAGGCGGGAGCUCAUUUUGCAUAGGGAGAUGUUCCAGGUAAACCUCCUUGGAAUGUUCUAGUUUGAUGUAUCUCGAACUCCUGGCGCAGGAUGCAUUUGAAAAACCUUUCAAUAAGCUGAAACAAAUACUCGAUAGAUGUUGAGUUGUUGUGGUUCAGUCUGUAUCCAGAAAAGGAGGAAAAAGCAACAGUAUUUUUAAAGUUACCCAUCUUACUUGGACAAGCUUUAUUUUUAUUUUUUAAUUUUUCCCCUUUAGGGCUGUACCUGCUGCAUAUGGAGGUUCCCGGGCUAGGGGUCGAAUCGGAGUUGCAGCUGCCAGUUUACACCGCAGCCACAGCAACGCCGGGUCCUUCAUCCACUGGAGAAGACAACGUCGGGUCCUUAACCCCCUGCGCCACAAUGGGAACUCCUACGUGGGCAAGCUUCAGGUUUUCAUGACCAGGAGCGGUGCUGCUUCCAGCCCCCAACCCCCACUCUUGCCGCAGGGCCCAGAUGGGCACGUUGUGACCCUGUCUGGGCUGAUAAUCGCAUCGCAGUGCUUUUCCUCAAAUCAGACGGCAGCUUAUCCCAGCUAAUCUCCCCACGAGCGUAUGGAGGUGGAGAAUAGCAGGGACUCCUGAGUGCUCUAAUGGGUAAGGAAGUUGAAAAAUCUUGGCCAACUACUACUUAGAACCAUGAGGAAAUCCUUUGCAGCAUUUGUAGCUUGCUGGCCAGCCUCUCGACUCCGAAGUGGUUUCUGAACACUCGUGGUGGGAAGGUUUUGUGUGCAGCUCUCCGCAGCGUGCGAUCUGUUCAGCGCCGGCUGCCGACGGCAGAGGUCUGGCACACACUUCGGUGCCAAGAGCAAGACACGCUUCUACGUCCCGCGCUGCCGGCUUCACAAGAAGCUGCGAGCGUCGUCACGGUCUUUGCUGAACACCUUCUGUGGAGUUGCUGAUGGUUUUCUCUUUCUGUCAAGGACCAGAAGUAGUUUCUGCUUCUCCAUCCGGGGUGCAUCGAGAAGUUCGAGAGAAGCAAGUCGGCGGCCCACGGACCUCCUUGGGGGCUGCCCGGUUGUAAUCCGAAGCUGGCCCUGUGCUCAGAGGGCAGAGGAAAGGGGCAGAUGACUCCAGACCUACAAACCCGGAGCGGCAGGUUCCGAAGGGGAUUUGCCACAAGCCUUGUCUUAGGUGAAUCCAGCGCAGACGGACCCUGCCCCUGCCGGCAGAGGCUUCUGUGUUUAUGGAGAGGCCUUAGCUGGAUCCACUCGUGCACACAGUCUAUAGUCUCAUUGCCAUAUUAAUAUCUCAAGGCUUUAUCCUCGAGGCAGCUUCUGGAUGUAGAGGAAGCAAAUGGGGUGCAUGAUCUACGGACAGGGGAGGGGCGGGGGCGGGCAGCCUCCAAGUGCCAGGGUUCAGCUUGCAGGUCAAACCCUUGGGCACAUCUUCUCAGUGGCCCCCCCAGCACAAGUAUGGAUCCAUCUCCCAUCUCUGCAAGACCUCAAGUGGCUGCACAGAAGUGGUGAGAUUCUUUCUUUUUUUUUUUUUUUCACUUUUUAGGGCCACACUCGUGGCAUAUGGAAUUUCCUAAGCUAGGGGUCAAAUCAGAGCUACAGCUGCCAGCCACAGCCACAGCCACACCAGAUCCGAGCUACGUCUAUGACCGACACCACAGCUCACAGCAACACUGGAUCCUUAACCCACUGAGUGAGGCCAGGGGUCGAACCUGCAUCCUAAUGGAUCCUAUUCUGUAACUGUAACCACUGAGCCGUGAAGGGAACUCCCAAAAGUCAACAUCUUGCAUAGCUUGUUAUAUAACACAUUUUUAAAGGAAAUGUAAUGAGUGCUUAUUGCCAGAGUAAAUGAUAAUUUUUACUCUUUCUUUUCUAUUUCAAUGUAACAUACCGCCCAUGACACGUUAAAAUAAUCAUCAUUCCUUCCCCCCAAAUUUAAACCUAUUAAAUUAUUUUUUGAGAAAUUCUUAUCUAAAAUAUCUGCCAUUUUGCAGAACUCCUGCAGAUAUGAGUGAUUCGCUGUUUUAAUAAUUAGUGUGGGAAAAAAGAGGACACAUGGAGAAUUUUGAAAUAGUCCUGUUAUUGUUUACGGCAAUCUACAUGCAUGAAGAAAUAGCUAGUUUUAACCCAACAAAAUUACAAGUUCUAAAACUGACAGAACACUGUAAACCAACUAUAAUGGAAAAAAUAAAAAUCAUUUAAAAUUU